rnacentral:rRNA from 1 species
UCACUAUYUCAACUUGAAUGGGUAAGAGCCAGUGCUYUCUGAAUGAGCGUGGCAUUGAAUGCGAGCGCCCAGKGGCACUUUGGUAAGCAGAACUGCGCUGUGGAUGAACAAACGUUCGGUUAAGGGCGCGAACUAUGACGCUCAUGAGAUACCAUAAAAGGUGUUGGCUGAUACAGACAGCAGGACGGUGGCCAYGGAAGUUGGAAUCCGCUAAGGAGUGKGUAACAACUCACCCUGCCGAAUCAGCUAGCCCUGAAAAUGGAUGGCGCUUGAGCGUCGGGCCUAUACCGAACCGUUGCUGCAGAGUGGCACUUGUGUCAUGGUGACAAGCAGCAACGAGUAGGAGGGUCACUGCGGUACGCUUUGAAGCCUUCGACGCGAGUYGGGGUGGAGCUGCCGCAGGAGCAGAUCUUGGUGGUAGUAKCWWMUCCCCCMCACCGAGAACUUUGAGGGCCGAAGCGGGGAAGGGUUCCAUGUGAACAGCAGUUGGACAUGGGUCAGUCGGCCCUAAGAGAUAGGAGAACUCUGUUCUGACUGUGGGCACUGCCGCCUUGCUGUAGCCCAUGCCUGUCUCGAAAGGGAAUCGGGUUAAUAUUCCCGAACCYGGACAUGGAGAUUGGCUCGUAAGAGCCCAGUGCGGUAACGCAAACGAACUCSKMSMCCCCUSSUGGCUAACUGAGGAAGAGUUGUCUUUUCUUUGUAAGGGUCAAACUCCCUGGAAUCAACUUGUUUGGAGAGAGGGACGAUGUACCCGUAAAGCAGCGCGGCUCUUGCGCUGUCUCAAUUUUAGCCACUGGCCCUUGAAAAUCCGAGGGAGACGCUAAUUUUCAUGUCAGUCCGUACCCAUAUCCGCAUCCG